rnacentral:lncRNA from 10 species
CCCACCUGUCCAGGGCGGCCUCUGCCUCUUCAUGCUGCCCCUUGUCCACCAGGUAAGGUCCAUAUCCUGGAGCUGCCCACCCCUCCCCAGGCUCAGGCUAGACUCUGCUGCAGACUUUGGGACCAGGAAGGGGAGGGGCCGGUCUCAAUGCAAAGGCUGACCUAAGACAGCUGCCCCGGAAGGACCUGCAGCACCCAGGUGGGUCGGGGACUGGGAGCUGAGAUGCAUGAGUGAGGGAGGGGGUCUUUAAGGGCCCCCAGGUUGGGGGGCCACAGCCUCCGUGAGGGCAGCUUUCUCGCUGCCAUUCUUUGAGAUCAAUAUAGAUUGAAAACAUUUUGCAUGAGAACUCACUGGGUCUUGGGGGGAUGGCAAGGGGGCUGUGUGGCUGAGUUAAAGCACGAGACGUGAAACGCCAGCAUCACCCUGUCUCUCUCCAAACAGAUGGUGCU